GGUUGCGAUCAUACCAGCACUAAUGCACCGGAUCCCAUUAGAACUCCGCAGUUAAGCGUGCUUGGACGAGAGUAGUACUAGGAUGGGUGACCCCCUGGGAAGUCCUCGUGUUGCAACCCC
rnacentral:rRNA from 1 species